rnacentral:rRNA from 1 species
GAUGAACGCUGGCGGCGUGCCUAAUACAUGCAAGUCGAGCGAACAGACGAGGAGCUUGCUCCUCUAACGUUAGCGGCGGACGGGUGAGUAACACGUGGAUAACCUACCUAUAAGACUGGGAUAACUUCGGGAAACCGGAGCUAAUACCGGAUAAUAUAUUGAACCGCAUGGUUCAAUAGUGAAAGACGGUUUUGCUGUCACUUAUAGAUGGAUCCGCGCCGCAUUAGCUAGUUGGUAAGGUAACAGCUUACCAAGGCAACGAUGCGUAGCCGACCUGAGAGGGUGAUCGGCCACACUGGAACUGAGACACGGUCCAGACUCCUACGGGAGGCAGCAGUAGGGAAUCUUCCGCAAUGGGCGAAAGCCUGACGGAGCAACGCCGCGUGAGUGAUGAAGGUCUUCGGAUCGUAAAACUCUGUUAUUAGGGAAGAACAAAUGUUUAAGUAACUAUGCACGUCUUGACGGUACCUAAUCAGAAAGCCACGGCUAACUACGUG